AGUGAACGCUGGCGGUAGGCCUAACACAUGCCAGUCGAACGGCCGCACAAUAAGCGCUUUCUCUUACUGUUGGCGACUGGCGGACGGGUGAGGCAUACAUCAGCAUCUUCUUUUUCUUGGGUGAUUACGUAGGGCCACUUACGCUACUACCGCAUACGUCCUACGGGUUAAAUCAGAAGAUCUUCGCACCUUGCGCGUCUCUUUUAGCCGGUGGCGGAUUGGCUAGUUGGCGUGGUAAAGGCCCAACAAAGCGACGCUCCGUUGCUGGUCUGAGGUGAUGAUCAGCCAAACUGGAACUGAGACACGGUCCAGAAUCCUAAGGGAGGCAGCAGGGGGGAAUAUUGGACAAUGGGCGGAAGCCUGAACCAGCCAUACCGCGUGGGUGAAGAAGGCCUUCGGGUUGUAAAGCCCUUUUGUUGAGAAAGAAAAGCAGCAGGUUAAUACCCCGCUGUUCUGACGGUAACCAAAGAAUAAGCACAGGCUAACUUAGUG
rnacentral:rRNA from 1 species